rnacentral:misc_RNA from 1 species
AGAAAACUCAAAAAAGAGCCCAAAGUGGAAAAGGAAGAGGAGAGAAUACUCACAAGGCUCUUCUUUGCUUUGUUCUUAUUCUGUAAUCUGUACCCAAUUCUGCUUAGGAUUUGUUAGGCACAUAGAAAAAAGGGAAAACCCCCUUUUUUCAGAAUCUUUAAUUUGACUGAAAUUUGAUCUAUUGAUUUGUUUAACUGAUAAUUGAAAGAUCGAUUCUUUGUUUUGUGUGAAAUUUGAUUGAAUUUAACAGGGAGGAAAACGAUGGUGUCUGCAAAUAGGGAGAUGGCUGUUUACUGUUUUGAUACAUUGGUGUCUCACUACAACAAGGAACAACCUCCUCCUCCUGCUUUUGAUGAGGGUGAACACCCGCUGUUUGUGACUUGGAAGAAAGUGGUGAAUGGUGGGGAGCCUCGUUUGCGCGGAUGCAUCGGCACUCUGGAAGCUCGCUGCAUUGUUAAUGGUUUUAAGGAUUAUGCACUGACAAGUGCUCUCAGGGACCGUCGUUUUCCUCCGAUACAGGCUAAAGAGUUACCUACUUUACAGUGUACAGUUUCAAUUCUCACUAAUUAUGAGACUGCAGCUAACUACCUUGAUUGGGAGGUAGGGAAGCAUGGGAUAAUUAUUGAAUUUACUGACCCUAACUAUAACACAAGAAGAAACGCCACGUACCUACCUGAGGUGGCUGCUCAUGAAGGGUGGACCGUUAUAGAAGCAAUUGACUCACUGAUACGCAAAGCAGGUUAUAAUGGACCUAUAACAGAAUCAUUGAGGAAGCAAAUCCAUCUAACUCGAUACCAGAGCACAUUAUUUACUAUGCAGUACAGUGAAUAUGUGGAUCAUGUUAAGGAAACCCGAGGUCUCGAUCCAACUAUUAAUGGUGUGAAACCUUGAACAACGUAUGGAUUGUUCGGAGGAAUCUUCCACCUUAAGACCAGUAGAUGAUUUUGGUUAAGUGGAAGAUAAACCAUUCUAAAAUUCAUGGUUGGAAUAUGUUGUUAUAGAUUCCAACCCUGUCUAGUGAUUGUUUUCAUAAACGUUUUACGCUAUUCUUCGAGACUGAAACUGAACUCAUUUUCAGUGCUGAGUGCACCCAAAAAAAAUUGAACUUCAACAGUUCCUUUAAAAAGCUGCAUUUGUGGCUAUGUUUGUUAUAAUAUAACUGUCUGCUUU